AGGACGAACGCUGGCGGCGUGCUUAACACAUGCAAGUCGAGCGGAAAGGCCCUUCGGGGUACUCGAGCGGCGAACGGGUGAGUAACACGUGAGCAACCUGCCCUUAGCUUCGGGAUAGCUCCGGGAAACCGGAAUUAAUACCGAAUAUGACUUUGGCUGACAUCAGCAGAAGUGGAAAGUUUUUCGGCUAGGGAUGGACUCGCGGCCUAUCAGCUAGUUGGUGAGGUAACGGCCCACCAAGGCGACGACGGGUAGCCGGCCUGAGAGGGCGACCGGCCACACUGGGACUGAGACACGGCCCAGACUCCUACGGGAGGCAGCAGUGGGGAAUAUUGCGCAAUGGGCGAAAGCCUGACGCAGCGACGCCGCGUGGGGGAUGAAUGCCUUCGGUUGUAAACCCCUUCAGCAGGACGAAGCGAAAGUGACGGUACCUGCAGAAGAAGCGCCGGCUAACUACGCGCCAGCACGCCGC
rnacentral:rRNA from 1 species